GGCAGGUGCAGGUGUGUGUCGAAGUCGCAUCGCCGCAUGACGCACGACGCCAAGCGACAUGUUUGCAGAAAUGUAAAUGUCAUUCCUGUGCACACAAGUCAGGUUCUCCAGCCGAACCUUUCAUUCAUUUAUUUCUCAUUGGGGCUCGGCAACGUUCGCACACGGCAGCUCUUUAAUGCGGCCAGAGGCACGCGCGUGCCGGGGGCGGCGGCUCCGCGCGGCGACGGCGACGGCGGGAGAUUUAACGCGGCGCGCGGGAUUGUCAACGUAACAACAGCUGGACGUUACGGUACUCCGCCGGAUGCUUGACAGCCAGACUUGCGGAAGAGAUAUUAUCUCUCUGCCCUGCCUGGACACCGCCGCCAUCACAAUGUAUUGCAGUGUAAUCGGCGGAUGCACAGGGACGAACUCUCUGCGGAGUGUGACCCCGUGACCUGCUGGAGGGCGUCGAUGAGAACACGAGGUCGAAGAAGAAGCUUCUCUAAAGCUUCUCCAGAUCUGGAACCAAUCUAGUCCCAUCUUCCAGGGUCUUGAGGAACUCAACUUGAAACUCCACCAUUUCUGGCAAGUUCCCAAACAGUACGUCCAGCUGGAGGAGAAGAGCAUAUGACUUUGCGGAGCUUGUCGGCAUCAGAGAGCUGCCGAGGAGUUGCAAGAGGUGGGAAGGGCGAGUCCGGGCUAGGCGAAGAGGACACGCACUCCGAGGGAUUCAUGUCAUGGAGACUGCGGCAGAAAGCGGCGACCUGCUCCGUGCUCUGCAAAAGAACAAAAAAGGCUGGGCAAACUCGGGCACACAGUGUGAGUGUGAAGAUCUGGCCAACUCCAGCAGCAUUGUAAAUCAGUCUUGAUAAUCCUCCAGACCCAGGAGAGUGCAAAGGAGCAGGAGGGAAAGGAGUCUCCUCCUCAAGGUUGCAGUGGAGCAGGAUUGGCUGGCGUGAGCCACACCUCAAUAGAAUAUAAAUGCAGAAUUUGAGGAAUAGGGGGGCAUGGAUGGGGAGAGGGGAGCUGCAGAGGAGCAGGCUGCAAAGGACGACGAACACAGAAACAACUGGUGCAAGGGGUUUUGCAGAGACGGAAUGUUUUAUGCGUGGCCAAAAAAAGGAAAGAACCAAGCCCGGAAAUACCCUUAAGAUCAGUUAAGGAAAAUGCACCUACACACAUUUACUAGAUGCUUCAACAACUAAGUGUGAUGAUUUACUUUUCUUGUGUGUCCCCUUCUUACAGUGAGUAAUUUCCUACUUUUCCAACAAGGCCAACACCACGACAAAAUGUGUAGUAAGAGAUACUGACAUCGAUAGGGUACAGCAGAGUAAACUUGUCACUGUUAUUGGCUCACAAAAUAUCUUGCACGCAGCCAGUAGAGAAACUGGUUCUGGGUCCGACGACACCUAAAUGCGUCCCAAAGCAAGUAAAGGGGCCCAGGAACCGUGCCUAAGUUGCAAAUAGCUUAUUUUUCCUCACAGUGGCGUAGCAUUGUUGUUAUGAUUAAUUGGAUUCAUUAUUUUGCCCUUUACUGCAGUGACAGGGAGAUUUGUCUCUGUUCCAAUUUACAAAAUAAAAUAACAUUUUUCUUCAGG